AUGCUGCUAUGGACUACACUGACAGAAGCCCAGGAGCUAGAAGAGGUGGCUGAGAGCGUGCUCGAGGAAGUGCUGGAGAGGGUGAAAGAGCUGGAGCAGUCGGUCCGCGUUUUAAGGAGGGCUCCCCUGGCAAUCAGUGGAAGGUUGUUUGGUAGAGCUAGAAGGGCAGAGCUUUCCGAGGCGCCUCCUCCAGAUCUCUGGGAGGAAAUUUGGCUGGUGGCUAGAGAGAUUGCAGCAACCCUUUUGGAUCACUUGGGGAAGCGAGGGGCAUGCAGCACAUCAGACGCCUCUGAGGCCAGGCUGUCGGCCAGGUGGAGGCAGCAGCGCAUUGCCACAGGAGCCACGCGAGCUGGCAAAUGGGGAGAAAGCAGAGCGAGGCAAGCUGAAUUCCCAAGGCUUGACGGAGCAGCUUCUCUGCCGUCUCUUGACCAAAUCGCCAAAGAUGCUGUUGAGAGCAUUGGAGCCACCUUGCAAUCGUUUGUAGCGUCUCAAUUUGAGUAUCGCUUCCACUGUAAAUUUUCUGAAAUCCUGAAGCUGCCCRCUGAGACUGUUUCUAAGAGACAACCGCAGCCACCCCAGACACCUUCCUCAAGCCAGGUCAUGAAAGAAGGAGGAUCACCUAGAGCAUCUGAACAUCGGACACCAGAAGCCGCCAGCUUGCUCGUGUUGCAACCCUUCCAAAAUGCUGCGGAGGUAUCCCGAGAGAGUAGCACGCUUGCAGGGGAGAGCAUCCCAAAUGCAAUUUCCAAAGUUCAGCAGCUCCMCUCAGAAUUAAAAGUGUAUGCUGAGACCAUUGUCCAUGAUGCUCUUGAAAURCUGAAGAAGAAGAAGAAGUUAGAAGAAGAAAGGCGUGCAAAGGCAAGAGCCUCACAAGACAGUUCAGAAGAAAGCACCGUGGAGAGCGGGCUAGUGGAGCGGCUAGGAGAGCAGCACGGUCGGCYUCUGACUGCAGUAGCUUCAGGAGUGAAUUGUGCAAGGCGGGCGGCAAAACAGCCCAGCCGGAGAGAUGGGAACAGCAGCAAUGCGGGGCAGGGCUUUCUAAGGCCAGAAGGAAAGAAAACUCCUGCUGGAAAAUUAGAGGAGAGUCAACCAAGAACAAAGCUCCCACCUAUCACCAUCCCCGGARUGGUCAUGCCUUCAGAGGACGAAGCAGAAUCUGAAGAAUCUCAAGAGGAACUGUCACCUAAUCUCCUCCCACCUGUCCUGCAAAGCUCCGAGCAAGAUGCUCAGAGCACACCAGAAGGCGUGCAGAAGCCCCUCGAUCACCCCUCGGCACCCRCAUCAAGACCUUGUGCUCCAGUGCUGGAAAGCCCGUCCCGCCAUCAGCUCCAAAGCCCCCUUCCCAGAGAGGGGCCCGGCGGAGAGCCACGCGCGUAAAGCCUCYGACGGGCAAGAGCGAGCCAGGCGAGUGCUGAGAGAGGCCACUGGCUGSGUGGCUGCUGGGGGCUGAGCUGAGGAGGUGUGUGGCUCCGGCCUUCAGAGCUGCUUCUCACACCGGUGCUGAGAAGUAACGGCCAGCAAGAGAAGCGAGGGAGUUUGCUCAGACUCUUGAACAGUCCGUGGGGAAAAGAACAUGCACAAAGCACAUGGCAGAGGGCUGCGCUCCACCUCVCUCCUGCUGCCUUUGCCGGGCCGGGGAAGGCUCGGCACCCUGUGGCGCUCACGGCCCUGUGCUUCCCUGCCUGCCUCCCUCGGAGCCGCAGGGGCUGCCGAUGGUGCGACUCGCGCGUCAGUGCAGAAGAGGCCUCGCCGCGUGGCACAGCCCCUCCGGCUGCCCUCCCAAGGAUCUUCCAGCAUAGCUGCUGCCCAGAGCCGCAGAGCCCCCGGGGAGCGGAGCCCCCUGCCCCCCCGCGCCUCCUCCCUUCCCCGCGCCUCCCCAGCAGAGAAUAAAGGCUUUACUUSCAAGCGCUGCUCUUGCCUC
rnacentral:lncRNA from 1 species